UGGGGAAUAUUGCACAAUGGGCGCAAGCCUGAUGCAGCCAUGCCGCGUGUGUGAAGAAGGCCUUCGGGUUGUAAAGCACUUUCAGCGAGGAGGAAGGUGGUGAGCUUAAUACGCUCAUCAAUUGACGUUACUCGCAGAAGAAGCACCGGCUAACUCCGUGCCAGCAGCCGCGGUAAUACGGAGGGUGCAAGCGUUAAUCGGAAUUACUGGGCGUAAAGCGCACGCAGGCGGUUUGUUAAGUCGGAUGUGAAAUCCCCGGGCUCAACCUGGGAACUGCAUUUGAAACUGGCAAGCUAGAGUCUCGUAGAGGGGGGUAGAAUUCCAGGUGUAGCGGUGAAAUGCGUAGAGAUCUGGAGGAAUACCGGUGGCGAAGGCGGCCCCCUGGACGAAGACUGACGCUCAGGUGCGAAAGCGUGGGGCAGCAAACAGGAUUAGAUACCCUGGUAGUCCAGCGCUGUAAAACGGAUGUCGAUUUUGGAGGUUGUGCCCUUGAGGCGUGGCUUCCGGAGCUAACGCGUUAAAUCGACCGCCUGGGGAGUACGGCCGCAAGGUUAAAACUCAAAGGAAUUGACGGGGUCAUAGCUGUUUCCU
rnacentral:rRNA from 1 species